rnacentral:rRNA from 1 species
CCUUUUGCAUAAUGGUUAAACUAGAGGAAAGUGAAUACUAGUUCACGAAAUAAGGCGAGCUAUUCUUUUUCACUACAUAAGAUGGAUGUAGCACCAUGGAAGAGAAAAGAAUAGGGGUGAUAGGCCUAUCAAGUCUUAGGAUAUCUUGAUGCUAAUGAAAAGUAUUAAGUACUAGGAAAAAUUAUGAAUGAUUAGGUUUAUAAUAAGAAUUAAGUAAGGUAGUUGAGUAUUUCAAGAUUUAAGUUUUACAAAUCUCACGGAAAAGGAAUUAAAUUUCAAGUGAUUGUUUUUAAUAAUUAGCUAUUUUAAAAUUAUAUUGAAAGUUGAUAAUGUUUAAAUGAGUAUAUAAAAUAAAGAAAAAAAGGACUCGGCAAAUAUUAUUUUCGACUGUUUACCAAAAACAUAGCCAGAUGAGAUAUAUUUUUGGUGGAUUCUGCUCAAUGAUAUUUAAAUAGCCGCA